CAUGGCAGAGACCAAUUUUAAAGAAAAUGGCAAGACACUUAGUAGUGUCAACAUGUAUAUUAACUGAUCAUUAAUGCUGAAUAUUAAAAACAAUAAGUUUUUGCUAUAUUUAUCUUUUCACGUGCAUGAAAGAAAUCAAACUGUAAAUUAGUUUGUCAAAUUACGUGAACAUGUCUCAAAAGGUACGAUUCCUGUUAAGAGGCAUUGAUUCAGAAUUCAACGAAGAUACAACAUCACCAACAUAUAAAACCAAUCAGUAUUCAAUUGGUACAGAUUCCAUUAAUUUGACAAACGACGGGAACUUACUUGUUAUUUGGCCUUUCAACUUAGGUGAGUUAAUCAAAUGUACGCAUGAAUAGAAAACGAGAAUAAUUGCCAAAAAAAGACAACUUAAUUCAUCUUGGACAGGCUAUCAGCACGAUUUAAGGCCACAUCGGUUUUCCGAUGGUCAAAUAAAGAACAUUUACCAAGAAGAGAAUUAUGAGGUUAAAAGUUGAUAGAAGGAGAUAUAGGCCGA
rnacentral:lncRNA from 1 species